rnacentral:lncRNA from 1 species
UUUUUUUUUUUUUUUAGCUACAGAAACAAUCCAUGAAAGAAAGAACUGAGAAGCAAAACUUCAUUAAAAUUAAAAAUGUGGAGUUCCUGUUGUGGUGCAGCGGAAGCAAAUAUGACUAGGGACCAUGAGGUUGCAGGUUCAAUCCCUGGCCUCACUCAGUGGGUUAGAUGAUCUGGCAUUGCUGUGAGCUGUGGUGUAGGUUGCAGAUGUGGGUCAGAUCUAGUGUUACUGUGACCCUGGCAUAGGCUGGCAGUUACAGCUCCGAUUAGACCCCUAGCCUGGGAACCUCCAUAUGCUGUGGGGUACAGCCCUAAAAGGACAAAAGACAAAAAAUAAAAAUAAAAAAAUAAAAAAUAAGAUAAAAUAAAUUAAGAAUGUUUGCUCUACAAGAGAUAGUGUCAAGAAAAUGAGAAGGAAAGCCACAGACUGGAAGAACAUAAUUGCAGGAGCUUCAUCUGGUAAACGACUGUUAUCCAAAAUAUACAAAGAACACUUUAAACUCAACCAGUAAGAAAACAAACAACCUGAUUAAAAAUGGGCUCAGGAUCUCAACAGACACCUCACCAAAAAGACAUACAGCUGGCAAAUAAGCAUAUGAAAAAAAUGCUCUACAUCAUAUGUCAUCAGGGAAAUGCAAAAGAAAAUAGCAUUGAGAUAGCACUACACAUCCAUUUGAAUCACCAAAAUCUAUAGCACUGACAACACCAAAUGCUGGCAAAAAAAUAUGGAGUAACAGGAACUCUCAUCCAAUGCUGGUGGGAAUGCAAAAUGGUACAGCUGCUUUGGAAGACAGUUUGGUGUUUCCUUCAAAACUUGACAAACUCUUGCCAUAUGAUCCAACUAUUGUACUCCUUGAUAUUUACCCAAAGGAGCUGAAAACUCCUGUUUAUACAGAAACCUAUAUAUUGAUAUUUGUAGCAACAUUAUUUAUAAUUGCCAAAACUUGGAAUCAACUAAAAUGUUCUUCAAUAGAUGAAUGCAUAAAUAAAAUGUGGUUCAGUCAGAUAUUGUGGGCCAUCCAGACCACGCUUUAAAAAAAGAGCUAUUAAGCCAUGAAAUACAUUCUUAGAAGCCAACCUGAAAAUAUACUGUAUGAUUCCAACUAUAUGACAUUCUGGAAAAGACAAAACUAUAGAAACAGUAAAAAGUUCAGUGGUUCCAGUGGUUUUGGGGAGGAGGAGGGAUGAAAAGGUGGAUCACAGAGGAUUUGGGGUUGGGAGGUCAGUGAAAAGUCUCUGUAUAAAACUACAAUGAUGGAUACAUGUCAUACAUUACUCCAAUCAAAUAGUUUUGUAGUAUAGUCUGAAAUAAGGGAGCCUGAUUCCUCAAGUUCCAUUUUUCUUUUUCAAGUUUGCUUUGGCUAUUCAAUGUCUAUUGUGUUUCCAUACCAAUUUUAAAUUAUUUUGUUCUAGUUCUGUGAAGAAUGUCCUUGAUAAUUUGAUAGGGAUUGCAUUGAAUCUGUAGAUUGCCUUGGGUAGUAUGGUCAUUUUGACAGUAUUGAUUCUUCCAAUCUAAGAGCAUGUUAUAUUUUUCCACAUGUUUUUUUUUCAUCUUUGAUCACAAUGAUGAUCAGUGUCAUAGUUUUUAGAGUACUGGUCUUUUGUCUCUUUAGGUACAUUUAUUUCUAGGUGUUUUAUUUUUCCAUUGACCUCUCAGGGACAAUAAACUUUUUAAAAUGUUGUUUCAGGAGUUCCCGUCAUGGCGCAGUGGUUAACGAAUCUGACUAGGAACCAUGAGGUUGCAGGUUCGAUCCCUGCCCUUGCUCAGUGGGUUAAGGAUCUGGCAUUGCUGUGGGCUGUGGUGUAGGUCACAGAGAUGGCUCGGAUCCUGCGUUGCUGUGGCUCUGGCAUAGGCUGGCAGCUACAGCUCCGAUUGGACCCCUAGCCUGGGAAACUCCAUAUGCCAUGGGAGCAGCCCAAGAAAUGGCAAAAAGAUAAAAAAAAAAAAAACAACUCAAUUAAAAAACUGGGCAGAAGGUCUAAAUAGCCAUUUCUCCAAAGAAGACACACAGAUGGCCAAAAACCACCCAAAAAUAUGCUCAUUAUCACAAAUUAUUACAGAAAUGCAUGUCAAAACUACAAUGAGGUACCACCUCACACCAGUCAGAGUGGCCAUUGUCCAAAGGUCUACAAAUAAUAAAUGCUGGAGAGGGUAUGGAGAAAUGAAAUCCUCCUACAUCAUUGGUGAAAAUGCACAUUGAUACAACCACUAUGGAAAACAGUAUGGAUGUUCCUCAAAAAACUAAAAGUUAAACUACCAUAUGAUCCAGCAAUCCCACACCAGGGCAUCUAUCCAGAGAAAAUGAUAAUUUUAAAAAUACAUUUAUCCCAAUGUUGACAGCAGCACUAUUUACAAUAGCCAAGACAUGGAAGCCACCUAAAUGUCUGUCAACAGAAGAGUGGAUAAAUAAGAUGUUGUACAUAUAUAUACAAUGUAAUAUUACUCAGUCAUACAAAAUAGUUAAAUAAUGGCAUUUGCAGCAACAUGGAUGCACCUAGAGAUUAUUAUACUAAGAGAAGUGAGUCAGACAGUGAAAGACAAACGUCACAUGAUAACACUUAUAUGUGGAAAUUUUAAAAAAAUGAUACAAAUGUACUUAUUUGCAGAACAGAAACAGACUUAUAAACAUGGAAAUCAAACUUGUGGUUAUCAAAUGAGACAGCUAAUAGGGGAGGGAGGGAUUGGGGGAUUGGGAUUGUCAUAGGCACACUGUGCCCACGGAAUGACUGGCCAAUGGGAACACUACCCAACAGGGAAAUCUGCCCAAUAUUCUGUUACAAUCUAUAUGGGAAAAGAAUCUGAAACUGAAUGGAUGUGUGUGUAUGUAUAACUGAAUCACUUUAUUGUACAGUGGAAAUUAUCACACCAUUUUAAAUC